UACGGGGGGGGCAAGCGUUGUUCGGAAUUACUGGGCGUAAAGGGUUUGUAGGUGGCUUGCUAAGUCAGACGUGAAAUCCCUCAGCUUAACUGGGGAACUGCGUCUGAGACUGGCAAGCUUGAGUGCAGGAGAGGAACGCGGAAUUCCUGGUGUAGCGGUGAAAUGCGCAGAUAUCAGGAAGAACACCCGUGGCUAAGGCGGCUCUCUAGUACGGUACUGACGCUGAGACGCGAAAGCGUGGGGAGCGAACAGG
rnacentral:rRNA from 1 species